CACCUCACGAGCUCUCGCGAUAGCGGUGCAAGCCCACCCCGGCCCUCCGGCUGCGGCAUGGGGACUCUCACCUUCUGGUCUCCUCUGCUGCUAGGGACGACGCCCAGCGUGUGCGCCGCGGCUGCCCGGCCCCCCUGUCCACCCGGUUAGGAGUCAUGGCAGAGCUCUCGGAGCCGCUCAGCUGGGCUCCAGAGGUCAGGGAGGAAGUGGGCUUCAGCUCGGGGAUGUCAAGGUCCCGCAGUGAGGGAUGGAAUUACCACCGGAGUUAGGCCCACCGUGAGUGUCCGGCCAAGGGCGGUGAAAGCACUAUUUACCGUAGCGAAGACUUGGAACCAACCCAAAUGCCCAUCAACGAGAGACUGGAUAAAGAAAAUGUGGCACAUAUACACCAUGGAAUACUAUGCAACCAUAAAAAAGAAUUAGUUCAUGUCCUUUGCAGGGACAUGGAUGAAGCUGGAAACCAUAAUUCUUAGCAAACUAACACAGGAACAGAAAGCAAACACCACAUGUUCUCACUCACAAGUGGGAGUUGAACAAUGAGAACACAUGGACGCAGGGAGGGGAACAUCACACAUCAGGGCCUGUCGGGGGGUGGGGGGCAAGGGGAAGGAAAGCAUUAGGACAAACAUCUAAUGCAUGUGGGGCUUAAAACUUAGAUGACAGGUUGAUAGGUGCAGCAAACCACCAUGGGGGUUGAUAGGUACAGCAAACCACCAUGGCACAUGUAUACCUGUGUAACAAACCUGCACUUUCUGCACAUGUAUCCCAGAACUUAAAGUAAAAUUAAAAAAAAAGAGGGAAAUGUG
rnacentral:lncRNA from 1 species